rnacentral:rRNA from 1 species
AACGAACGCUGGCGGCGUGCUUAACACAUGCAAGUCGAACGUGAUCCGGAGCUUGCUCCGGUGAAAGUGGCGCACGGGUGAGUAACGCGUGGAUAACCUGCCCUGGUAUCUGGGAUAACAUCUCGAAAGGGGUGCUAAUACCGGAUAAGCCCUCGGGUCCCUCGGGAUCUGCGGGAAAAGGUGGCCUCUGUCUCAAGCUACCGUAUCAGGAUGGGACCGCGUACCAUUAGCUAGUUGGUAGGGUAAUGGCCUACCAAGGCGACGAUGGUUAGCUGGUCUGAGAGGAGGAUCAGCCACACUGGAACUGGGACACCGUCCAGACUCCUACGGGAGGCAGCAGUGGGGAAUUUUGCGCAAUGGGGGAAACCCUGACGCAGCAACGCCGCGUGAGUGAUGAAGGCCUUCGGGUCGUAAAGCUCUGUCAGAGGGGAAGAAAUGACGAGGUGCUAAUACCAUCUCUUCUUGACGGUACCCUCAAAGGAAGCACCGGCUAACUCCGUGCCAGCAGCCGCGGUAA